UACGUAGGGUGCAAGCGUUGUCCGGAAUUAUUGGGCGUAAAGAGCUCGUAGGCGGUUCAGCAAGUCGGGUGUGAAAACUCUGGGCUCAACCCAGAGACGCCACCCGAUACUGCUGUGACUAGAGUCCGGUAGGGGAGUGGGGAAUUCCUGGUGUAGCGGUGAAAUGCGCAGAUAUCAGGAGGAACACCGGUGGCGAAGGCGCCACUCUGGGCCGGCACUGACGCUGAGGAGCGAAAGCGUGGGUAGCAAACAGG
rnacentral:rRNA from 1 species